rnacentral:rRNA from 1 species
GCCUACGGGAGGCUGCAGUGGGGAAUAUUGCGCAAUGGGCGAAAGCCUGACGCAGCGACGCCGCGUGAGGGACGAAGGUCUUCGGAUUGUAAACCUCUUUCAGCAGGGACGAAGCGAAAGUGACUGUACCUGCAGAAGAAGCACCGGCUAACUACGUGCCAGCAGCCGCGGUAAUACGUAGGGUGCAAGCGUUGUCCGGAUUUAUUGGGCGUAAAGAGCUCGUAGGCGGUUUGUCGCGUCGGAUGUGAAAACCCAAUGGCUUAACCGUGGGCCUGCAUUCGAUACGGGCAGACUAGAGUGUGGUAGGGGAGACUGGAACUCCUGGUGUAGCGGUGGAAUGCGCAGAUAUCAGGAAGAACACCGAUGGCGAAGGCAGGUCUCUGGGCCACAACUGACGCUGAGGAGCGAAAGCGUGGGGAGCAAACAGGAUUAGAUACCCUGGUAGUCCG